rnacentral:rRNA from 1 species
GACGAACGCUGGCGGCGUGCUUAACACAUGCAAGUCGAACGGAAAGGCCCUGCUUUUGUGGGGUGCUCGAGUGGCGAACGGGUGAGUAACACGUGUGUAACCUGCCCUUGACUUUGGGAUAACUUCAGGAAACUGGGGCUCAUACCGGAUAGGAGCUCCUGCUGCAUGGUGGGGGUUGGAAAGUUUCGGCGGUUGGGGAUGGACUCGCGGCUUAUGAGCUUGUUGGUGGGGUAGUGGCUUACCAAGGCUUUGACGGGUAGCCGGCCUGAGAGGGUGACCGGCCACAUUGGGACUGAGAUACGGCCCAGACUCCUACGGGAGGCAGCAGUGGGGAAUAUUGCACAAUGGGCGGAAGCCUGAUGCAGCAACGCCGCGUGCGGGAUGACGGCCUUCGGGUUGUAAACCGCUUUCGCCUGUGACGAAGCGUGAGUGACGGUAAUGGGUAAAGAAGCAACGGCUAACUACGUG